rnacentral:rRNA from 1 species
GACGAACGCUGGCGGCGUGCUUAACACAUGCAAGUCGAACGGGUCUGCCCUGUUUUUUGCGGGGUGGGUCAGUGGCGAACGGGUGAGUAACACGUGAGUAACCUGCCCCUCACUUCUGGAUAACCGCUUGAAAGGGUGGCUAAUACGGGGUGUUCUGGCUGUGCCGCAUGGUGUGGCUGGGAAAGAUUCACUUUUGUGGUGUUUUGGUGGGGGAUGGGCUCGGGGCCUAUCAGCUUGUUGGUGGGGUGAUGGCCUGCCAAGGCUUUGACGGGUAGCCGGCCUGGGAGGGUGGGCGGUCACACGGGGACGGAGGUACGGCCCGGACUCCUGCGGGAGGCAGCAGUGGGGGGUAUUGAACAAUGGGCGGAAGCCUGAUGCAGCGACGUCGCGUGAGGGAUGGAGGCCUUCGGGUUGUGAACCUCUUUCGCCGGUGAAGAAGGUCCUGCUCUUUGUGGUGGGGUUGACGGUAGCCGGGUUAUGAAGCGCCGGCUAACUACGUG